GACGAACGCUGGCGGCGUGCUUAACACAUGCAAGUCGAACGGAAAGGCCCUGCUUUUGUGGGGUGCUCGAGUGGCGAACGGGUGAGUAACACGUGAGUAACCUGCCCUUGACUUUGGGAUAACUUCAGGAAACUGGGGCUAAUACCGGAUAGGAGCUCCUGCUGCAUGGUGGGGGUUGGAAAGUUUCGGCGGUUGGGGAUGGACUCGCGGCUUAUCAGCUUGUUGGUGGGGUAGUGGCUUACCAAGGCUUUGACGGGUAGCCGGCCUGCGAGGGUGACCGGCCACAUUGGGCCUGAGAUACGGCGCAGACUCCUACGGGAGGCAGAAGUGGGGAAUAUUGCGCAAUGGGCGGACGCCUGAUGCAGCAACGCCGCGUGCGGGAUGACGGCCUUCGGGUGGUAAACCGCUUUCGCCUGUGACGAAGCGUGCGUGACGGUAAUGGGUAAAGAAGCACCGGCUAACUACGUG
rnacentral:rRNA from 1 species